rnacentral:tRNA from 1 species
GGAGGGGUGUGAGAGCGGUCUAAUCAGCAGGUCUCGAAAACCUUGCGGGCUUUUUGUUCACGUGGGUUCGAAUCCCACCCCCUCCG